rnacentral:rRNA from 1 species
AUUGAACGCUGGCGGCAGGCCUAACACAUGCAAGUCGAGCGAGCGGCGGACGGGUGAGUAAUGCCUGGGAAUUGCCCAGUCGAGGGGGAUAACAGUUGGAAACGACUGCUAAUACCGCAUACGAUUGGAUUGCCCAGGUGGGAUUGGCUAGUUGUUGAGGUAAUGGCUCCCCAAGGGGACGAUCCCUAGCUGGUCUGAGAGAGUGAUCAGCCACACUGUAACUGUGACACGGUCCAGACUCCUACGGGGGGCAGCAGUGGGGAAUAUUGCACCAUGGGGGAAACCCUGCUGCAGCCAUGCCGCGUGUGUGAAGAAGGCCUUCGGGUUGUAAAGCACUUUCAGCGAGGAGGCGUUACUCGCAGAAGAAUCACCGGCUAACUCCGUGCCAGCAGCCGCGGUAAUUC